AUUGAACGCUGGCGGCAUGCCUUACACAUGCAAGUCGAACGGCAGCACGGGAGCAAUCCUGGUGGCGAGUGGCGAACGGGUGAGUAAUAUAUCGGAACGUGCCCAGUCGUGGGGAUAACGUAGCGAAAGCUACGCUAAUACCGCAUACGAUCUACGGAUGAAAGCGGGGGAUCGCAAGACCUCGCGCGAUUGGAGCGGCCGAUAUCAGGAUUAGGUAGUUGGUGAGGUAAAGGCUCACCAAGCCAACGAUCUGUAGCUGGUCUGAGAGGACGACCAGCCACACUGGAACUGAGACAC
rnacentral:rRNA from 1 species